GUGCCAGCAGCCGCGGUAAUACGUAGGGGGCAAGCGUUGUCCGGAUUUAUUGGGCGUAAAGAGCUCGUAGGCGGCUGGUCACGUCGGGUGUGAAAGCUCAGAGCUCAACUCUGAGAGGCCAUUCGAUACGGAUCAGCUAGAGGUAGGUAGGGGAAAGUGGAAUUCCUGGUGUAGCGGUGAAAUGCGCAGAUAUCAGGAGGAACACCGGUGGCGAAGGCGGCUUUCUGGGCCUUACCUGACGCUGAGGAGCGAAAGCUGGGGGAGCGAACAGGAUUAGAAACCCCGGUAGUCC
rnacentral:rRNA from 1 species